rnacentral:rRNA from 1 species
UACAGAGGAUGCGAGCGUUAAUCGGAAUUACUGGGCGUAAAGCGUGCGCAGGCGGUUUUGUAAGCCAGAUGUGAAAUCCCCGGGCUUAACCUGGGAAUGGCAUUUGGGACUGCAAGGCUUGAGUGCGGCAGAGGAGACUGGAAUUCCUGGUGUAGCAGUGAAAUGCGUAGAUAUCAGGAGGAACACCGAUGGCGAGGGCAGGUCUCUGGGCUGACACUGACGCUCAUGCACGAAAGCGUGGGGAGCAAACAGG